AUUGAACGCUAGCGGGAUGCUUUACACAUGCAAGUCGAACGAGUGGCGGACGGGUGAGUAAUGUAUCGGGACCUGCCCGGUAGCGGGGGAUAACUACUGGAAACGGUGGCUAAUACCGCAUACUAUCGGAUGAGCCCAUAUCGGAUUAGCUAGUUGGUGGGGUAAAGGCUCACCAAGGCAACGAUCCGUAGCUGGUUUGAGAGGACGACCAGCCACACUGGGACUGAGACACGGCCCAGACUCCUACGGGAGGCAGCAGUGGGGAAUAUUGGACAAUGGGGGAAACCCUGAUGCAGCCAUGCCGCGUGUAUGAGAAGGCCUUCGGGUUGUAAAGUACUUUUGGCAGAGAAGCGGUAUCUGCAGAAGAAGCACCGGCUAACUACGUGCCAGCAGCCGCGGUAAUAC
rnacentral:rRNA from 1 species